rnacentral:rRNA from 1 species
AUUGAACGCUGGCGGCAGGCCUAACACAUGCAAGUCGAGCGGAUGAAGGGAGCUUGCUCCUGGAUUCAGCGGCGGACGGGUGAGUAAUGCCUAGGAAUCUGCCUGGUCGUGGGGGAUAACGUCCGGAAACGGGCGCUAAUACCGCAUCCGUCCUGAGGGAGAAAGUGGGGGAUCUUCGGACCUCACGCUAUCAGAUGAGCCUAGGUCGGAUUAGCUAGUUGGUGGGGUAAAGGCCUACCAAGGCGACGAUCCGUAACUGGUCUGAGAGGAUGAUCAGUCACACUGGAACUGAGACACGGUCCAGACUCCUACGGGAGGCAGCAGUGGGGAAUAUUGGACAAUGGGCGAAAGCCUGAUCCAGCCAUGCCGCGUGUGUGAAGAAGGUCUUCGGAUUGUAAAGCACUGUAAGUUGGGAGGAAGGGCAGUAAGUUAAUACCUUGCUGUUUUGACGUUACCAACAGAAUAAGCACCGGCUAACUUCGUG